GUAACAAAUGAUGAUCGUAUUACCGCCCCAGUCUGAUCUCUGUGACUGAUUGGUAUUCCUGAUUUUGU
ensembl:snoRNA SNORD31 Small nucleolar RNA SNORD31